AGCACAAUCAAUUGGCCCUUAAUUAGGGUCAGGUAUGAAUGGAGUUACGGGGYUUAGCUGUCUCUAAACUAUUUAAUUGAAGUUGCUAUAUAGGUGAAAAAGCCUAUAUCAAGAAAAAAGACGAGAAGACCCUUAGAGUUUUACUUAAAGUAGAGUUAUUUCUUCACUAGUUUUUGUUGGGGCAACAUAGGAGAAGAGUUAAACCUCCUAAAGUAUAUAAACCGAUGUUUUUAAAUGUGAAUAAACUACCUUAGGGAUAACAGCAUAAUUUUAAAAAUAAGUUUGUGACCUCGAUGUUGGACUAGGAAACUAAAGGCU
rnacentral:rRNA from 1 species